AACGCACAUUGCGCCCCCUGGCAUUCCGGGAGGCAUGCCUGUUCGAGCGUCAUUAAAAAGGCAUCAAGCGCAUUUGGCUUGGUUGUGAGGGAUGAGCGUCAGUUGCGGUCACCCUCGAAAUUGAUCUGCGGGUUUUUCGGAAAGCGGCUUUGCAGCGAUCAUAACUGAACGCCUUCGCAGCAGCACGUUUUCCGAGCCGCCGUCAAACCCCCCCAACACACAAUGGUUGACCUCGGAUCAGGUAGGGAUACCCGCUGAACUUAA
rnacentral:misc_RNA from 1 species